GACGAGCCACACGAACGUUAUUCGGAAUUACUGGGCUUAAAGGGUGCGUAGGCUGCGCGGAAAGUUGGGUGUGAAAUCCCUCGGCUCAACCGAGGAACUGCGCCCAAAACUACCGUGCUCGAGGAAGAUAGAGGUAAGCGGAACUUACGGUGGAGCGGUGAAAUGCGUUGAUAUCGUAAGGAACACCUGUGGCGAAAGCGGCUACUGGUCUUUUCUGACGCUGAUGCACGAAAGCUAGGGGAGCAAACGGGAGUUAGAAUAUCCC
rnacentral:rRNA from 1 species